UCCGGCUUAUCACCGGCAGUCCCCCUAGAGUGCCCAACUUAAUGAUGGCAACUAAGGGCGAGGGUUGCGCUCGUUGCGGGACUUAACCCAACACCUCACGACACGAGCUGACGACAGCCAUGCAGCAUCUGUGUGGCACCCUCGAAGGUCACACGUUUCCGUGCGCUUGCAGCCACAUGUCAAGUCCAGGUAAGGUUCUUCGCGUUGCAUCGAAUUAAAGAACGUGCUCCGCUGCUUGUGCGGGCCCCCGUCAAUUCCUUUGAGUUUUUGCCUUGCGGCCGUACUCCCCAGGCGGGACACUUAUCGCGUUGGCUUCGGCACAGGGGGAUUCGACUCCCCCCACACCUAGUGUUCAUCGUUUACGGCAUGGACUAC
rnacentral:misc_RNA from 1 species